UCUCCGUUGGGUGAACCAGCGGAGGGAUCAUUACCGAGUUUCCAAAACUCCCAACCCAUGUGAACCUUACCUAUCGUUGCCUCGGCGGGAAGCCCCGGCGCCCACACCCGGGCCCGGACCCAGGCGCCCGCCGCAGGACCCCUCAACUCGUGUCUCUCUGGAGCAUCGUCUGAGUGAGAAAACAAAUAAAUCAAAACUUUCAACAACGGAUCUCUUGGUUCUGGCAUCGAUGAAGAACGCAGCGAAAUGCGAUAAGUAAUGUGAAUUGCAGAAUUCAGUGAAUCAUCGAAUCUUUGAACGCACAUUGCGCCCGUCAGUAUUCUGACGGGCAUGCCUGUUCGAGCGUCGUUUCAACCCUCGGAGCCCCCUUCGGGGCACCGGUGUUGGGGAUCGACCGCCCCCCCGUGGCGGUCGGCCCUGAAACUCAGUGGCGGUCUCGCCGUAGCCUCCCUUGCGUAGUAGCACACACCUCGCACUGGACGGCCGGCGCGGCCACGCCGUGAAACCCCCCACCUCUGAAAUGUUGACCUCGGAUCAGGUAGGAUUACCCGCUGAACUU
rnacentral:rRNA from 1 species